UUGGUCUGGGAAUUAGCUGCUGUGUUGCUGACCUCCUGGUUGGCUGUGUAUGCUGCAGCUUGACCCUGACCUAGACUAUAACAGGGUGAGCAUGGAGACGCAGCCCUGGCAGUAACAGGUGUGAGCAUCACCCAGCUGUCUGAUGCUCGUGUAUAAUACUGCACACAAAC